rnacentral:rRNA from 1 species
GUUGCCAGCAUUUAGUUGGGGACGUCAUGGGAGACCGUGCCGGCGUCAAGCCGGAGGAAGGUGGGGAUGACGUCAAGUCAUCAUGCCCCUUAUGUCCUGGGCUGCACACGUGCUACAAUGGCCGGUACAAUGGGCUGCGAUGCCGCGAGGCGGAGCGAAUCCCAUAAAACCGGCCCCAGUUCGGAUCGAAGGCUGCAACUCGCCUUCGUGAAGUCGGAGUUGCUAGUAAUCGCGGAUCAGCAUGCCGCGGUGAAUACGUUCCCGGGCCUU